CAUAUAAAUAUUUAAUUAUAUAUAAGAUUAUAAAUUUCAAAAAUAUUAUUACUUUCUUUUUAAACAUUUAUAUUCAGUGAAACUACAACAAACAAAAUCAUAGUAAACCAUAAAAUAGAUAGUUCAAAAUCAAAUUUGUUCCAUAGAAACACUAGAGAAAUACCAAAUUAAAGAUUCUUUACAUUUCUAUCUUUUCAAGAACCAAGCUUGCAAAUUAAACCAAAAUAUACCUAGUGACAUAAAAUCAACCCUCUCUCCCAUAAUCAAAACCUCUCAUAUUAAGGAAAAAUAAAAAGAUUUCAACUCCUCAUGUUCUUCAUCUUGUACCAACCCUUCUUGCAAGAAUCUCCCACAAUUUUUACUCCCUUCUUGAAAAUGAUCUUCAACUCUUGUGUUCUCUCCUUCACUUGCUUCUCAAAACUUCCCAUAUUUAACUUUCCCUAUAAAAAUAUAUCAAAAAUAUCACAAAAUCAAAACCCUAGAAAAGACAGAAGGGCGAAAACCGUCUUAUCUUAGAGUAAGGAUAGUUCACUUUAAAUUUUUUUUAUAAUCAAUAAGUAAGACAUUUUAACAUUUCAAAUGAGAAAAUAAUUAAAUAUGAAAGAGUUCUUUUUUUUCCAUCAAGAUAACUUCUUUUUUUAAAAAAAGUAAAUCACAAUUAGAUAAAAUUCAAAUAAAAUAGAAAAUUCAAGACAAACUCUAACAGUUAUAAACUUGCAAUAACGAUAUAUUCUUACCAAUAUCUUAGCGACUUCUAUGCAAUGCAAUAAUUUUGUUGGCUUAGAGUAGCAAGCAAGAACUUAUAUGCACAAAUAUUUCUUAGAUGUGAAGAGAAUGUUCAAUCAAAAAGUAAAAGUUUUUAAAGGAGUUGGGCUACGUGGGAUCCAACUCAUAACGUACAUUAUGAGUAUUUUAGAAGAUAUAGACGUGAAGGGAGUGUAUAUCAUUUCUU
rnacentral:lncRNA from 1 species